rnacentral:tRNA from 1 species
CCGUAGCUCAGUCGGAUAGAGCACCAGAUUCCUAAUCUGGGGGUCGUGGGUUCGAAUCCCGCCGGG